AACACUGAUAGGGUGUGUAACACUGAUAGGGUGUGUAACACUGACACUGAUAGGGUGUAACACUGAUAGGGUGUGUAACAAACAUGGACACACUAAGGACCUGGAAACUGACAUACAUGUGUAAGAGGCUUUAAAGACGAUUAUACCUUGUCAGAAGUUUAAACUUUAAAAAAAAAUCAAUUAAGUGUUACAAUCAAAUAAAAUCAAUCUAUUAUCUUUCCUACUGGCCAUAUUAAAUACAUCUGCAAAAUACCCACUACAUCUACCAGGUUGAGAAGCGGGUCAGAGUAUGUUAACCAGCGGAGAACAACAUUACUACGAGUUAAUCUGGGCAGAUCCUGGUUGUUGUGAAAUAGUAGUGAUCAAGUCUAUAUUCUUGAUAAAUUCUCCAAUAACAAUUUGAUUGUAUUAAAAUUGAUCCCAUUUCCAUAAACAAAGCACUUUUAUGAUCGACACCCCUGCUCCUGACCUUUGGUAGGAGUAUACACUAGAUGGCACAGUAAUAGGAUUAUGUCCAGAUUCACAUACAACCAAACACACAAAUUGUACCACUCAUGCCAUCAAAAAACACAUGAUUAAU